rnacentral:rRNA from 1 species
GACGAACGCUGGCGGCAUGCUUAACACAUGCAAGUCGAACGAAGUGGCGAACGGGUGAGUAAUCCGUGGGUAACCUGCCCUCCUUUUUGGGAUAAGCCUUGGAAACGGGGUCUAAUACCGAAUAAAGGGGGAUGGGCUCGCGGCCUAUCAGCUUGUUGUGGGGGUUAGGGCCUACCAAGGCGGUGACGGGUAGCCGGCCUGAAAGGGUGACCGGUCACAUUGGGACUGAGCGACGGCCAAGACUCAUAGGCGAGGCAGCAGUCGGGGAUAUUGCACAAUGGGCGAAAGCCUGAUGCAGCGAGUCCGUGUGGGGGAUGAAGGCUUUCGGGUUGUAAACCUCUUUGGCUAUCGAAAGGGUAGGUGGAGAAGAAGCGCUGGUCAACUACGUGCCAGCAGCCGCGGGAAUAC